GCGAAAGUGGCGGAACGGCAGACGCACUGGUCUCAGGUACCAGCGACUUCGGUCAUGAGGGUUCGAAUCCCUCCUUUCGUA
rnacentral:tRNA from 5 species